CAUCAUAGGUCAUCACAGAGUGGGCAUAACAUCAUAGGUCUUUAUUUGGGCUCUUUAGUGGUCAUCACAGAGUGGGCAUAACAUCAUAGGUCUUUAGCGGUCA